UUUUAAACNGUUAUAUAAUAGUAUUAAAGUAGCGUAAUAAUUUGUCAUUUAAUUGAUGAAUAUAAUGAAGGUUACAUGAAUUAAAUUCUGUCUUUAAGAAAUAAAAUAAAAUUAAUAAUAUAGUGAAAAAUCUAAAUUUUUUUUAAAAGACGAUAAGACCCUAUAGAACUUAUUUAAAAUUUUAAAUUUACUGGGGAAGUAAAAAUAUAUAAAAAACUAUUUUUAAAAAUAAAAAU
rnacentral:rRNA from 1 species